AUGGAAAUUGCUCAACACAAACAAAAACGGCGGAUAAUCCAUCCCCAAUUCGAAAACCUUGGUUACAAAAAACCCCGCACGAUGUCGUAUCCUCCAGCUGCAAACUCCAAGACCGAAAGAAGAGAGUUUCCUCAAAAGAGACGCGAGGGUCUUCAACCUCAGCAGAUUCCUUCAUCCAUUCACUCCAUUGUUAAGAAGAGGGUUUAUUAUUUUGUACGAGGUUGUUGGGUACUGAAGAUUGUUAGCGACGAUGGCGGCAACGGAGGAAAUUUGAUAUGCAGCUGGUCCCAAAGAUACUCCAAUGGAGCAUGUUUAUGA